rnacentral:misc_RNA from 1 species
GAUGAAUAAUUAAUUACUUUCAUUGUAAAUUUGUUAUCUUCGUAUAGUACUAAAAGUAUGAGUUAUUAAGCCAUCCCAACUUAAUAACCAUGUAAAAUUAGCAAGUGAGUAACAUUUGCUAGUAGAGUUAGUUUCCUUGGACUCAGUGCUAUGUAUUUUUCUUAAUUAUCAUUACAGAUAAUUAUUUCUAGCAUGUAAGCUAUCGUAAACAACAUCGAUUUAUCAUUAUUUGAUAAAUAAAAUUUUUUUCAUAAUUAAUAACAUCCCCAAAAAUAGAUUGAAAAAAUAACUGUAAAACAUUCCCUUAAUAAUAAGUAUGGUCGUGAGCCCCUCCCAAGCUCGCGGC